rnacentral:rRNA from 1 species
CCCCCCCCCCGGCGGAGCAUUUGUUUAUUGAAGCAACGGAAGAACCUUACCAGGUCCCCUCCUCUGACAAUCUAGAGAUAGGAGUCCCCUUCGGGGGCAGAGUGACAGGUGGUGCAAAAAAAGUCAGCUCGUGUCGUGAGAUGUUGGGUUAAGUCCCGCAACGAGCGCAACCCUUGAUCUUAGUUGCCAGCAUUCCAGUUGGGCACUCCUAAGGUGACUGCCGGUGACAAACCGCAGGAAGGUGGGGAUGACGUCAAAUCAUCAUGCCCCUUAGACCUGGGCUACACACGUGCUACAAUGCGAACAAAGGGCGGGAAACCGCGAGGUUAAG